rnacentral:rRNA from 1 species
UUUUUUAAAUUGCUGUGGUAUUUUAACUAUACAAAGGUAUUGUAAUAAGGUUUUAAUUGAAUGCUAAAAGAAUGGAAUUUUAAAAAAGAUCUUUUUUAAAAAUAAAAAUUGAAUUUUUUUUAAUUUGUGCAGAAACAAUUAUUUAUAUUAAGGACAAGAAGACCCUAAGAAUUUAUAAUUAAAUAAAUUAAAAUUUUAAUUUAUUUAAUUUUGAUUGGGGUGAUCGAAAAAUAUUAAUAACUUUUUUGAAUUUAAAUGAUCUAUUAUUAAUAAAUGAAUGAAAUAAAUACUCUA